CAUAUGCUUGUCUCAAAGAUUAAGCCAUGCAUGUCUAGGAAUAAACCCCAGAACGGUGAAUCUGCGAAUGGCUCAUUAAAUCAGUUAUUGUUUAUUUGAUGGUACCUUACUACUUGGAUAACCGUAGUAAUUCUAGAGCUAAUACAUGCGCAAAACCCCGACUGAGUGAUCGGAAGGGGUGCAUUUAUUAGAUUCAAACCAUCGGUCUGCAAAUUCUCAUUUGUAUGAUCUUUGAUGGUGAGUCAUAAUAACUGAGCGAAUCGAAUGGCUUUAUGCUGUCGAUGCUUCAUUCAAAUUUCUGCCCUAUCAGCUUUCGGUGGUAGGAUCUUGGCCUACCAUGGCUAUCACGGGUAACGGGGAAUUAGGGUUCGGUUCCGGAGAGGGAGCUUGAGAAACGGCUACCACAUCCAAGGAUGGCAGCAGGCGCGCAAAUUACCCAAUCCCGACACGGGGAGGUAGUGACCAAAAAUAGCAAUGCAGGAUUAUUUCUAAUCCGGCAAUUGGAAUGAGAGAAAUUUAAACCAAUUCUCGAGGAGCCAUUGGAGGGCAAGUCUGGUGCCAGCAGCCGCGGUAAUUCCAGCUCCAAUAGCGUAUAUAAAAGUUGUUGCAGUUAAAAGGCUCGUAGUCUGACCAUUGGCUGGCAGUUUUUGAUACCCCACUGCCCCGUCAAACGGGUAGUGCGUUUUUGGUGUUGUCUGUCUUGGCCAAGGUUUUUGCAUUUUUAUGUGCAAAGACCUUUUUCGGAGGAACGUUUGUGCUUUUCAUUAAGUGCAUGCGGAUUCCGAUAUUUUACUUUGAGAAAAAUAGAGUGUUCAAAGCAGGCGAUUUCGCCACUUGAAUACAUUAGCAUGGGAUAAUGAAAUAGGACAUUGGUUCUAUUUUGUUGGUUUCUUUUAAGGACCGAUGUAAUGAUUAAUGGGGACAGUUGGGGACAUUUAUAUCCCAUGGCUAGAGGUGAAAUUCUUGGAUUCAUGGAAGAUAAACUACUGCGAAAGCAUUUGUCAGAGAUGUUUUCAUUGAUCAAGAACGAAAGUUAGGGGAGCAAAGAUGAUCAGAUACCGUCGUAGUCUCAACCAUAAACGAUGCCGACUAGGGAUCGGUGAGAGUUAGUUUGAUGACUUCAUCGGCACCUCAUUGGGAAACCAUUAAGUCUUUGGGUUCCGGGGGGAGUAUGGUCGCAAGGCUGAAACUUAAAGGAAUUGACGGAAGGGCACCACCAGGAGUGGAGCCUGCGGCUUAAUUUGACUCAACACGGGAAAACUCACCAGGUCCAGACAUAGUAAGGAUUGACAGAUUGAGAGCUCUUUCUUGAUUCUAUGAAAGGUGGCGCAUGGCCGUUCUUAGUUGGUGGAGUGAUUUGUCUGAUUAAUUUCGAUAACGAACGAGACCUUGACCUGCUAACUAGUCCGACUAUACAAUUGCUCUCAUUUUUUUGGUGAGAGCAGUAUUGUCGUUUUUUUGACUUCUUAGAGGGACAAUCUGUUUCCAGCAGAAGGAAGCGCGAGGCGAUAACAGGUCUGUGAUGCCCUUAGAUGUCCUGGGCUGCACGCGCGCUACACUGACUAAUUCAACGAGUUUAUCACCUUGGCAGAGAUGUCUGGGUAAUCUUUUCAACCUUAGUCGUGAUGGGGAUAGAUGAUUGUAAUUAUUCGUCUUGAACGAGGAAGUCCUAGUAAGUGUG
rnacentral:rRNA from 1 species